AAGAGGGACUGAAUGAAUGACCGCUGAUUGAACUCUCAGAGUGAACAGACAGCAGUACUCGGGGUCAUGGGCAAGGCCCCCAGACUCCGAGUUCCCCGGAAGGAACCACCGACCACUCGUCAAGGGAUGGCAGAGUGAGGGAGUCAUAAUCUUUUUGCUGGUGGAGGAUUUGAAAUAUCGCGAGAAUUACCAAAAUGUGACGCAGAGACGUGAAGUGAGCAAAUGCUGCUGGAAAAAUGGCGCCGAUGGAUUUGCUGCACGCAGGGUUGCCACAAACCUUCAAUUUGUAAAAAAACGCAAUAUUUGUGAAGCGCAAUAAAACAAGCUUGGUGCAUGAGGACCAGAGAAGAGUGACACAGGAUUCUGGUGUCCAGCACAGCGCCACACACAACUCAGACCCUCACUGAAGGGGAUGGAGCACUGGCCACCUCCAGCCUGGCAGGCACCGUCUGGGGUGAGCUGAGCCCAUUGAGAACUCCUCUGAGGGUCACACUGAGGGUGGGGCCCUGGCAGCCAUGUUUACUCACCUGGGAUCCUGGCUCCU